UACGUAGGUGGCAAGCGUUGUCCGGAAUUACUGGGUGUAAAGGGAGCGUAGGCGGGGUAUCAAGUCAGAAGUGAAAAUUAUGGGCUCAACUCAUAACCUGCUUUUGAAACUGAUACUCUUGAGUGAAGUAGAGGCAAGCGGAAUUCCUAGUGUAGCGGUGAAAUGCAUAGAUAUUAGGAGGAACACCAGUGGCGAAGGCGGCUUGCUGGGCUUUUACUGACGCUGAGGCUCGAAAGCGUGGGGAGCAAACAGG
rnacentral:rRNA from 1 species